AUUGAACGCUGGCGGAAUGCUUUACACAUGCAAGUCGAGCGGCAGCGCGGGGGCAACCCUGGCGGCGAGCGGCGAACGGGUGAGUAACAUAUCGGAACGUACCCUGUCGUGGGGGAUAACUAUCCGAAAGGAUAGCUAAUACCGCAUACGACCUGAGGGUGAAAGCGGGGGAUCGCAAGGACCUCGCGCGAUAGGAGCGGCCGAUAUCGGAUUAGCUAGUUGGUGGGGUAAAGGCUCACCAAGGCGACGAUCCGUAGCUGGUCUGAGAGGACGACCAGCUACACUGGAACUGAGACACGGUCCAGACUCCUACGGGAGGCAGCAGUGGGGAAUUUUGGACAAUGGGGGCAACCCUGAUCCAGCCAUUCCGCGUGAGUGAAGAAGGCCUCGGUUGUAAG
rnacentral:rRNA from 1 species